UACGUAGGGGGCAAGCGUUGUCCGGAUUUAUUGGGCGUAAAGAGCUCGUAGGCGGUUUGGUAAGUCAGGUGUGAAAUCCCGAGGCUCAACCUCGGGUCUGCAGUCGAUACGGGCAAACUAGAGUAUUGCAGGGGAGACUGGAAUUCCUGGUGUAGCGGUGAAAUGCGCAGAUAUCAGGAGGAACACCGGUGGCGAAGGCGGUUCUCUGGGCAUGUCCUGACGCUGAGGAGCGAAAGUGUGGGGAGCGAACAGG
rnacentral:rRNA from 1 species